ACAGAAUUAUGAUAUGUCGACACCACUGGCAACUUUAUUGUUCAGUGAAAAACAAUGUUUCGACCAGAAUUUCUGGCCCUCUUCAGGUUUCAAGUAAUAAUCAAUAGUAACAGAAUUAUGAUAUGUCGACACCACUGGCAACUUUAUUGUUCAGUGAAAAACAACGUUUCGACCAGAAUUUCUGACCCUCUUCAGGUUUCAAGUUAGUAUACUCUCAACGUGAAACACCAUCCUUCAGUCCUUGGUGUGAGCAAUAAUUAUAGUGCAGUUUGUUCCGCCAGGUAAUAAUCAAUAGUAACAGAAUUAUGAUAUGUCGACACCACUGGCAACUUUAUUGUUCAGUGAAAAACAACGUUUUGACCAGAAUUUCUGGCCCUCUUCAGGUUUCAAGUUAGUAUACUCUCAACGUGAAACACCAUCCUUCAGUCCUUGGUGUGAGCAAUAAUUAUAGUGCAGUUUGUUCCGCCAGGUAAUAAUCAAUAGUAACAGAAUUAUGAUAUGUCGACACCACUGGCAACUUUAUUGUUCAGUGAAAAACAACGUUUUGACCAGAAUUUCUGGCCCUCUUCAGGUUUCAAGUUAGUAUACUCUCAACGUGAAACACCAUCCUUCAGUCCUUGGUGUGAGCAAUAAUUAUGGUGAAAAACAACGUUUUGACCAGAAUUUCAGAAAUGUUGUUUUUCACUGAACAAUAAAGUUGCCAGUGGUAUCGACGUAUCAUAAUUCUGUUACUAUUGAUUAUUACCUGGCGGAACAAACUGCACUAUAAUUAUUUUGAUAAUCGUAUUAUGUUUUAUUAUUUAACGCAUUAAAAUGCGCAAAUCGAGUUAACGUCGUCUAGCAAGCAUCUCUCUUUUUAUAUGAUCCAAACGCUUCCACUUUAGCGAUCCGAGUCAACAAGCAUCGCGUUUAUGAGAUCGGAGUGAGAUGCGCGCAAGUGUUUUCGAGUGAUGUCAGGCGGACGUCUCUCGCGAUGGCAAACUCGCUCACGGUCCCUGUGUCGAGACAAUAAAGGACGAUUGCCGCGAAGGAGCGGGCAUUAUAUCGGACGAUUACGGCAAGCCGCCGGCGAGCUGCGUGGGGCCGCGUAAAUACGAGAUAACAUCCGAUGUUGACGUUGAAAAACAUCUCGCAACACGGCAAUGAGACCGUCGGUCAAAUGUCACGCUGUUGAAUUUAGAUAACAAGCGUUAUGUAUCGCAGCGAUCGCUACAAUCAUUUUAAUAACUGCUCUUACAAUAUCUUUUUUUAAACAAAACCGUUAAAACUUCUCACAUCGAAGCAAGAUGGGCGAUGAAACUUCUUUAUUAUUUCCAGACAUGACAACAGCCUUAUUAUAUUGAAAUACAAGAUAACUAAUGCAACAAUUUAGUUUUUUCAUGAAUGAAGUGAUUACAUGGUGUUUACUUGAACAUACAUCUUGCUACAUUUUCCUCUAUAACGUUUGAUAAAUAGUUAAUAUUUGAUAGAGAUAAUUAGGAUUAUGCAUAAGCAAAAUGUACUCUGUAAAACUUUGAAAAUUUGUUACAUUAAAUUUCUGGUUUUUUUA